GCGUGCAGGAAGAAGGUCCUCUGGAUUGUAAACUGCUUUUGUACGGGAGAAAACCCUUUACGUGUAGAGGGCUGAUAGUACCGUAAGAAUAAGCAUCGGCUAACUUCGUGCCAGCAGCCGCGGUAAGACGAAGGAUGCAAGCGUUAUCCGGAUUCAUUGGGUUUAAAGGGUGCGUAGGCGGACGCAUAAGUCAGUGGUGAAAUCUCCAGGCUUAACUUGGAAACUGCCAUUGAUAUUGUCUGUCUUGAGUACAGAUGAUGUUGGCGGAAUAUGACAUGUAGCGGUGAAAUGCAUAGAUAUGUCAUAGAACACCGAUUGCGAAGGCAGCUGACAAAACUGUAACUGACGCUGAGGCACGAAAGUGCGGGGAUCAAACAGGAUUAGAUACCCUGGUAGUCCGCACCGUAAACUAUGAUUACUCGCUGUGUGCGAUAUACAGUACGCGGCUAAGCGAAAGCGUUAAGUAAUCCACCUGGGGAGUACGCCGGCAACGGUGAAACUCAGAGGAAUUGACGGGGGCCCGCACAAGCGGAGGAGCAUGUGGUUUAAUUCGACGCAACGCGAAGAACCUU
rnacentral:rRNA from 1 species